AUUGAACGCUGGCGGCAGGCCUAACACAUGCAAGUCGAGCGGAUGAAGGGAGCUUGCUCCUGGAUUCAGCGGCGGACGGGUGAGUAAUGCCUAGGAAUCUGCCUGGUAGUGGGGGAUAACGUCCGGAAACGGGCGCUAAUACCGCAUACGUCCUGAGGGGGAAAGUGGGGGAUCUUCGGACCUCACGCUAUCAGAUGAGCCUAGGUCGGAUUAGCUAGUUGGUGGGGUAAAGGCCUACCAAGGCGACGAUCCGUAACUGGUCUGAGAGGAUGAUCAGUCACACUGGAACUGAGACACGGUCCAGACUCCUACGGGAGGCAGCAGUGGGGAAUAUUGGACAAUGGGCGAAAGCCUGAUCCAGCCAUGCCGCGUGUGUGAAGAAGGUCUUCGGAUUGUAAAGCACUUUUAGUUGGGAGGAAGGGCAGUAAGUUAAUACCUUGCUGUUUUGACGUUACCAACAGAAUAAGCACCGGCUAACUUCGUG
rnacentral:rRNA from 1 species